rnacentral:rRNA from 1 species
CCUACGGGUGGCAGCAGUGAGGAAUAUUUGUCAAUGGACGCAAGUCUGAACCAGCCAUGCCGCGUGCAGGAUGACGGCUCUAUGAGUUGUAAACUGCUUUUGUACGAGGGUAAACGCCGAUCCGUGUAUCUGUCUGAACGUAUCGUACGAAUAAGGAUCGGCUAACUCCGUGCCAGCGGCCGCGGUAAUACGGAGGAUCCGAGCGUUAUCCGGAUUUAUUGGGUUUAAAGGGUGCGUAGGCGGUUGGAUAAGUUAGAGGUGAAAUCGCGGGGCUAAACCCCGGGACUGCCUCUGAUACUGUUGGGCUAGAGAACAGUUGCGGUAGGCGGAAUGGAUGGUGUAGCGGUGAAAUGCUUAGAGAUCAUACAGAACACCGAUUGCGAAGGCAGCUUACCAAACUAUAUCUGACGUUGAGGCACGAAAGCGUGGGGAGCAAACAGGAUUAGAUACCCUGGUAGUC